GAUGAACGCUAGCUACAGGCUUAACACAUGCAAGUCGAGGGGUAACGAGAGGAAAGCUUGCUUUCCUUGUCGACGACCGGCGCACGGGUGAGUAACGCGUAUCCAACCUGCCCCCAACUAAGGAAUAACCUUGCGAAAGUAAGACUAAUACCUUAUAAUUUCUUCAGAUGUCAUCUGACGAGGAAUAAAGAUUUAUCGGUUGUGGAUGGGGAUGCGUCUGAUUAGCUUGUUGGCGGGGUAACGGCCCACCAAGGCGACGAUCAGUAGGGGUUCUGAGAGGAAGGUCCCCCACAUUAGAAAUGAGACACGGUCCAAAAUCCUGCGGGAGGCAGCAGUGAGGAAGAUUGGUCGAUGGGCGGAAGCCUGAACCAGCCAAGUAGCGUGCAGGAUGACGGCCCUAUGGGUUGUAAACUGCUUUUAUACAGGAAUAAAGUUAGCCACGUGUGGUUAUUUGUAGGUACUGUAUGAAUAAGGACCGGCUAAGUCCGUGCCAGCCGCCGCGGUAA
rnacentral:rRNA from 1 species